rnacentral:rRNA from 1 species
CCUACGGGUGGCAGCAGUGGGGAAUAUUUCACAAUGGGGGAAACCCUGAUGCAGCAACGCCGCGUGAGGGAAGAAGGAUCUAGGGAUUUUAAACUCCUUCUGCAGGGGAGCAGAAAGACGGUACCGUACUAAGAAGCCACGACUAACUACGUGCGAGGAGCCGCGGUAAGUCGUAGGGGGCACGCGUUAUCCGGUUUUACUGGGGGUAAAGGGAGCGUAGACGGCUGUGCAAGUCGGAAGUGAAAGCUCGGGGCUCAACCGCGGAACUGCUUUGGAAACUGUAUAGCUAGAGUAGUGGAGAGGCAGGCGGAAUUCCUGGUGUAGCGGUGAAAUGCGUAGAUAUCAGGAGGAACACCAGUGGCGAAGGCGGCCUGCUGGACAGAAACUGACGCUGAGGCUCGAAAGCGUGGGGAGCGAACAGGAUUAGAUACCCCUGUAGUC